AAUUCAUUAACAAUUCCCACAAAUACUUUCUACAAUUUUUUAUCAUAUUUAUAAACUCUAAAACACCUCUUCCAAAAUUAUUUAUUCUGUUCGUAUCGAAUUCGUUACCUUUUACUCGAAUUAUUCAAUCAUUACUGUAAUAUUCAGGGAAUUUUUUAUUAACAAUUUGUAAAAAAUCAUUAACAUUUCAGUCUAUUAUUUAACGACAAGAAAUUCCGGCUUUCAAAUACGAAUGCCGCCCCCACGGAUCAAAUCCUUAUCUCGUCACACAGUUUAGUAAUUUUUCCAAUUCCAUCAACAUUGUCCGUCUUAUCAUAAAAAACCUAUUGUUUAUUGCUUAGCAACACGUCCCCUCGAUGCCACGUGAUACGUCAUGCCCAGUGAUUGGUUGGAUAAACAUUUAAAAUAUCGAACGGUAUUUUAAAAAUUACCGGAGGAUUUUUAAAAAAUUCUGAAAAAUCCACGCGACCAUGAGUUUGAGGUUAUACCUGGAUCAAUCGACGCUCGGUGAAUUCUCAGAAGUCACGAGUCAAUAACAAGAACACUCAACAACACAAUCAUGUCUGAAAACUCACUGUGCGAAUAACUUUAUGCCAUGCAUCGGUAUCUCAAUGUAAUCGGACCUCUCAAGUACAAUGGGAUAAGAAUAUAAAUUUAACAUUUCGUAUGGGUUUAUCACUCGCCCAGAUGACCUCCCAAGCAACGAAGGAUUUGAUUAAUAGUCAUUUCAAGUCAUUUUAGUAAUUGAAGAGUCACGGAUUCGAAUCCCAAAUUUUUCUCUCGAAAAUUCUGACUUCUACAGAAUAUUCAUCUCCAAAAUUCAUUCGUUUUUCGUUUUGAAUAAAAAUAGUGGAUUGAUAUGAAUAUUUUUUUAACGAUAAAUUGGCGUUUUUAGACAAAAAUACUUCGAUGAUUUAAUUUUAAUCGAAUGAUUUUAAUGCUAUUAAAAAUCUUCGGUAAUCACAUUAAUUUUUUUGUUAUUUAUGGGAUAAUAGUUUUCCGGAGUCGAUUAUUGGAAAAAUAAGUGAUAAGUGGUUCAGUAAUUACCGAAUAUGAUGAAACAUCGACAGUUUUUAAUCUUAUCCUCAUCGUCGUGAUGACGAAACAGAGAGCAAAACAGAAAACGUGACAGUUUCAUGGAAUCAUUCAAAUCAAUCUGCGGUAUCUUAUUUAGCCCCAGAGCUUUAUUGUGAUGUUUUCAUUUCUAAUGCAAUGUUUUCUUCUCAGAAUCGAGGGAUUUUUCCAGAUGGGGAUCGAACAAAGAAUUUCCUCCGGGGGUCCAACAGUAAAUCGGCAGCCGUUAAUUGCAAAAAAAUGGGAUAAAAGUCAUUAAAAAAAGACUUAUAAUGAUUCACGUGUGCGAUACAUGUACGCAUGUACCAAAAAUGAUAGCUUAUCAUAAUAGUGUCAGUAGUGAUAGAUGGUUUAUGACUUUUGGCGGUCAUCAGAUACCAAAAAUUGCUAAUCAAUUGCCUAAGGCACGAGGCAAAGAUGAUGAAAACCUUCAGGACGAUGACUGGGCAAAUUAUGUUAUGAUCUAUAAAUAUUCUGUUUUGUGAAGUUGAAAAACUAAUUAUCACAAUUAUCACUAGUUUAUGAAUUUUUUCUCGAUCCCCCCGGAGUAAUCAAUUAAUCUGUAGUCUAUUUCUGUAGAAUCAGGUGAUUAUGUCAAUUAGUAAUUUUCACUGGAUAUUUUUAGAGUCAAGUUUUUCUGAUAAUGAAAAAAAAUAAAUUUAUUGUGUGAAUUCAUUGUUAGCAGUUUCCCGAUCUGAGGAGAUCUAUCACCACCGGAAAUUGAGAGAUCUUUGGUGAAAUUCAAAUUUCGGUUCUUUCUUCGGUGUCUGAAUUUCAGUGACUCCUGAUCUUCCUUUUGUUAUGAAAAUAGUCCGGACUUAGACUUCACCUCUGCCCCUGAAAUUCUAUGAAAUCUCAUUGAAAUCGAAGCAUCACGAUUUCUCUGUCGUUUUUUCCCCGAGCACGUGGGAUGAUAAUUAGAAGUGUUUUUAAUAAAAAAUAGAUGGAUGUAUCGGCUGAUAAUUAUUAAAGAGCGGCACUAUUUCCUCUGUUAUUUUUAUCAAUUUAGUAAUUGUUGGGAAAAGGGAGAAGGAAAUGUUGAAGGAAUUUCAUUUAGGACAUGAAUUUAUAUAUUUUUAUUUUCGAAGGGGUGGGUCGUGGACGUUUGUACAUUUGAUUGGGCAGAUCUUUCAGGAUUAUUACGAAAUGAUAAGCGAUAUUUUUUCGAUGGAGACAGCUUUUGAUUGAUAACACACUUGUCAGUAGACGGUACACAUGGAGUAAACAAACGCGUCUUUGUUUUCAGAGCCGAGAGGAUUGUCCGCAAAUGUAAAAGAGAUUGAAUUUUUUUUCCUGAAACAGCUGGAAAAAUAGAAUUUUAUUUUGAGAUUUGUUAUUUCAGUUUCAGGCCUUCGAUAAACUGGUAUUAAAACUUUUAAAGAACUC